ACCCUGAGAUCAUGACUUGAGCUGAAAUCAAGAGUUGGACACUCAACCACCUGAGCCACCCUAGUGCCCCGAGAAAUGAAGUAUUUUGAUUCGGGUCACACGGCCAGUAUGUCUCAGUGAUGACAUCCAAAUCUGUUUUUUUGGAUGUGAAUGCUGAAGAGAGAAGAAACCAUGAACAGAACUGAGGACUCAUAUGGCGGAAGGAGCUGGUCUUGCCUGAUGGUGAAACUGAGGCCCAGGAGAGUGAAAUAACUUGCCCUCAGCUCACACAGUGGGUGAUGGUCAGAAUUGGAAGCCAGGCCUGGUUGAUGCCAAAAUCUGAACACCUGCCGUGAGUCACAUUUCCAGAGGGGAGGUACACAGCUAGUGGCUUUCUAGGAACCAUCUCAGCAGAAAGAAGUCCCUCACUGCUCUGAGCCCUGUG